rnacentral:rRNA from 1 species
UACGAAGGGGGCUAGCGUUGCUCGGAAUUACUGGGCGUAAAGGGAGCGUAGGCGGAUCGUUAAGUUAGAGGUGAAAGCCCAGGGCUCAACCCUGGAAUUGCCUUUGAUACUGGCGAUCUUGAGUAUGGGAGAGGUAAGCGGAACUCCGAGUGUAGAGGUGAAAUUCGUAGAUAUUCGGAAGAACACCAGUGGCGAAGGCGGCUUACUGGCCCAUUACUGACGCUGAGGCUCGAAAGCGUGGGGAGCAAACAGG